rnacentral:rRNA from 1 species
UACGUAGGGGGCUAGCGUUGUCCGGAAUCAUUGGGCGUAAAGAGCGUGUAGGCGGUCCGGUAAGUCCGUUGUGAAAGUCAGGGGCUCAACCCUUGAAUGCCGGCGGAUACUGUCGGGCUAGAGUCCGGAAGAGGCGAGUGGAAUUCCCGGUGUAGCGGUGGAAUGCGCAGAUAUCGGGAGGAACACCUAUGGCGAAGGCAGCUCGCUGGGACGGUACUGACGCUAAGACGCGAAAGCGUGGGGAGCAAACAGG